AAAAAAAGCCCCACUAAGGUUGGGGCAAAGGAGAAUGAGGUAUUGAUUACCUACACUAUGUUUAUAUUGUCGUAUUAUUUUAUUGCU
rnacentral:sRNA from 1 species